UACAUGCAUGUCGCGCGGUCGACGGGAGCUUGCUCCCUGAGAUUAGCGGCGGACGGGUGAGUAACACGUGGGCAACCUGCCUAUAAGACUGGGAUAACUUCGGGAAACCGGAGCUAAUACCGGAUACGUUCUUUUCUCGCAUGAGAGAAGAUGGAAAGACGGUUUACGCUGUCACUUAUAGAUGGGCCCGCGGCGCAUUAGCUAGUUGGUGAGGUAAUGGCUCACCAAGGCGACGAUGCGUAGCCGACCUGAGAGGGUGAUCGGCCACACUGGGACUGAGACACGGCCCAGACUCCUACGGGAGGCAGCAGUAGGGAAUCUUCCGCAAUGGACGAAAGUCUGACGGAGCAACGCCGCGUGAACGAAGAAGGCCUUCGGGUCGUAAAGUUCUGUUGUUAGGGAAGAACAAGUACCAGAGUAACUGCUGGUACCUUGACGGUACCUAACCAGAAAGCCACGGCUAACUACGUGCCAGCAGCCGCGGUAAUACGUAGGUGGCAAGCGUUGUCCGGAAUUAUUGGGCGUAAAGCGCGCGCAGGUGGUUCCUUAAGUCUGAUGUGAAAGCCCACGGCUCAACCGUGGAGGGUCAUUGGAAACUGGGGAACUUGAGUGCAGAAGAGGAAAGUGGAAUUCCAAGUGUAGCGGUGAAAUGCGUAGAGAUUUGGAGGAACACCAGUGGCGAAGGCGACUUUCUGGUCUGUAACUGACACUGAGGCGCGAAAGCGUGGGGAGCAAACAGGAUUAGAUACCUGGUAGUCCACGCCGUAAACGAUGAGUGCUAAGUGUUAGAGGGUUUCCGCCCUUUAGUGCUGCAGCUAACGCAUUAAGCACUCCGUCUGGGAGUACGGCCGCAAGGCUGAAACUCAAAGGAUUGACGGGGGCCGCACAAGCGUGGAGCANGUGGAUUANUCGAAGCACGCGAGAACCUA
rnacentral:rRNA from 2 species